rnacentral:lncRNA from 1 species
CAGUUAGGAAACUGACUUUUUUGGAAAAGUUAAUUUUGAUUUUAAUGUUUGAUUCAUUUUUAAAUUGUUGAUUACUGAUUAAUGAUCAAUAGUAUAUUCAUCUAGUAAUGCUUGCAACAUCUUGGACUUACAUGUACUAUUUUAUCGUUGGAAUCUUUAACAUGCAAAUAGAGUUGGUGAUAUUAUGUGAUAGUCUUAAGUGUUACACUUUGUAGGGUGUUACGCUUAGAACAAUGUAUGAUAAAAUUAUAUUAAGUGUAGUCUUGUUAACCUGAU